AUGGCAUCUGUCUGUUCUCCACUGCUCUUCUGCCCUACACAAACGAGACGGAUGCUCCUCCUUCUGUGGCUUCCUAUGCUGACGUUUAAAUUUACAUUAUUUGCUUGGCAAGAAGAAACAUCUGCUGCUUUCUUUCAUUGGACAGAAGAAGUAACGCUAUUGAUUUGUUGGGAAUACAUUUAUUUUUUUUGUAACCAUUUCUUAAUUUGUUGAUCAAAAUGUGACUCAUUUUAUCCUUAAUCUUUCUACUUUUCCUUUAAAAUCCAUCAACUCUUUUUUUUUGGGACACCAAAAAGCCUUUUAUUUUUGAACUUUUCAUGGAUCAGAGUUGAGUUUUUAUUUUAGGAAUUGAGCACUUGUGAGCGAGACAGAACGCUUUCAUUUUUAAAUUCAUGUUUGUUGUGAAGCCUCUUAUGUUUUGGUGCGAUAUCUGCUUUUUCUACCGCACCGUUCACACUCGGGUGUGUGUGCGGCGUGCAUGCCAGGUUUGCUUCGUGCAUGCUCUCCGUCCGUGUGUGCAUUUUGGAUCGUG
rnacentral:lncRNA from 1 species